GGGGGUAUAGCUCAGUUGGUAGAGCGCCUGCUUUGCAAGCAGGAAGUCAUCGGUUCGAGUCCGUUUACCUCCACCA
rnacentral:tRNA from 1 species